GAAUUACUGUGUGAAGGAACGGCUUCACUUUUGAUUAGGGAAAUAAUAUGCUUACUUUUGGGUUUAUGAAGAUCUCGUAACAAUCUGGGGGAGAUGCCGGGGUAAAAAGAGUGAGCUCGGACGAAGGGGUCCGAGAAAAGAACACCGUGAAGUUGAGCAAGGUGUUUUAACUGACUCAGGAUUUCAGAGAAUCGAGUCAGCUGUGAUCUCGAGUUUUAAUGGAGAAGAUUUCAGGACCACAGCAACCACAGGGGUGGCAAGAAUCCUGGAAGCCUGAGAUCGAACGGAACCAACCAGAGAAAGGAGAAAAACAGAGCACAAAUACACCUAGUUGUUUAUAUUACAAAGAAGAUCAAAAGCUUGUUAGACAUAGGUUAUAAUGGAAGCAUAAAAGGGAUGAGAGGAACUUUACAUAACAUAGAAAUCCUGCAACAAUUCGUAAAUUGCCCAAACACAGUGUUCAGACUGGAUAUGCGCUACCCGUUAAAGGGGGCGAAGAAAUCAGGCCUAAGUUUGAAAAAUGAAAUGGGUUAACUCGAUAGAGGAUGUUUCCAAAGGUCGAGAAAAUAAUGUAGGACCUUUUACCAGGAGAAAGCUAAUUGUAUCUUUUACACUUUACAGUGUGCACUGAGGGAAGUCAGGAAUAGUUUAAAUUAGGAUUGAAAAAAUUAAACUAGGUGAAAAGGGGUGUAGCAAGUAGAUUUAGGGCAGCUCACAGCCUGGCGUAAACGCAAGGUGCCGUCACACAGCUUAAGUUAUUUGUUUGAUUUAUUUUAAACAUUGAAAACAUACAACCCGUUGAGGAGACAGACAGGGUUGGGGAAUUGAAAGGUUUUGUUUGUUUAGCAUAAUUUCUUUUGUUAUAUUUUAGCUUUAACAGGAACAUGCCUCUCUGGAGCUUCUCUCCUGAUGCUACCCUGCCAAAGACCCUUAUCCAUAGAGACUAUGUCAGCUCCCAAACAGACAGCAACAAACCAAAUCUAGCAAUAAAACAACUUAAACAUCAAUAGUAACAAAGCAAGAACAAUACAGAAUCCACAUUUAACCGAAGAAUAAAACAGUGAAAUGUGGAUUAUUAAAUAUUAGGUCUCUCUCUUCAAAGCCUCUGUUGGCUCACGCCGAGCGGUCGCAGCAGAUGGUUGCCCGUACCUGAGCGUGGUUCUGUCGGAGGUUUCUUCCUGUUAAAAGGGAGUUUUUCCUUCCCACUGUUGCCAAAGUGCUUGCUCAAUAGGGGGUCACAAGAUUGUUGGGUUUUUCUCUGUAUCUAUGAAGCACCUUGAGGCAACUUUUGUUGUGAUUUGGCGCUAUAUAAAUAAAAUUCAAUUGAAUUGUAUUGAAGUAAACUUAAUGUGAUAAAUUAGGAAUUAGUUCAUUUCUCAAGUGAGAAAUGAAAAAGGGGGACUGGUGUUAGGAAUAAAAGAAAUAUUUUUAAUGUGUACUCUAAUAAUGAAGGCUUGUAGAGCAAGGCUACCUUUGACUUACAAACAAGAGCUCAGCCAGACUGAAAAACAGGAAGUUUUAGUGCACAAGGCAUAUUAAUAGAUAUAGACACAAAAAAGAGGAACUCCCCAUACAAACAAUGUUCAAGACUGUGUGACGUGUAAAGUACCGAAAUAAUACCAUAUAGGUCACAGCUGAUGAUUCUAAUGUUAGAGAGCUCUUGCAACUGGCGUCUGAGCUGUGCAGAGGUCUCUCACCCCGGAAGAUGAUUGAAUAAAGAAAGACAGGUACUUAUGUAUGUCAGCAUAAGGUGGAGUCCAACAGAAGCAAGGCACCCUACAUGCGCACAGCAUGCAGCAGGGGUUGCCAAAACAAUAUAGAAAACAGCACAUGUAGUGAGAGAACACCCACCAAAAGUUCUGACUACACAUAGUGUGGUGGCAUAGGUGAACUCGCAGGCGUUCACUAUGACAUCAUUAGCACAACAGAGACUGAGUAAAGUUUUAGAUGCUCCAAAUCUGACAUUUACACAUGAAGGAAUCAAUCAGGAGAACCUCAUGAUUGUACUAAGAAAGCAGAAGUUGAAGGAAAGUUAGGGAAGAUUUACAAGCAGAACCUAUCCCUGGAGCUGAGGAUUGGUUCAUAGAUGGCUGCUGUCAUCGUGAUGAAGAAGGAUCGAAAGCAGGCUAUGCUAUAGUCUGCAAGCAAGGAACUGAAUUUGAGC
ensembl:lncRNA